rnacentral:lncRNA from 1 species
GUUUUCUGAGUUAAAGGUGAUUGGAUCCUAGGACGAGGUGCUCCUCCCUAUACAUUGCUCGGUAGGUUUAACGUGACACUAAGUGUUAUCAAUCAUGCCCAGAGUCACUCCGCUGACGGUCAAGGUCUAAUUAUGUGUAUAUGAAUAUUUAAUGUGAAACAUUAAGAAUCAUUUGUUAAUCUAUUUAUGAAUAUAUUGGUGGAUGAUGCCAUUAUGAAUGUAUGAUUGGAUUU